AAUAGUUUUAUAGCUGAAAAGGCGCGCGAGAGCGUGACGGGCAGCAGAGUCUCUCGCUAUCGGAUCCUGGAUUUUUGGCACCGAAAAUAGCAGGGCGGGCGCUCGGUGUGCGGCGCUCGCGCAGUGCGUGUCGCUCCGCCGUGUGAACAGCCCGCUCGUGAGGCCCAUUGGCGUAUUUUCUGUAGAAAAAGCAAACACACAAAGCCGCCACCAUGGACGCGAUCAAGAAGAAGAUGCAGGCGAUGAAGCUGGAGAAGGACAACGCCAUGGACAAGGCGGACACCUGCGAGCAGCAGGCCAGGGACGCCAACCUCCGCGCCGAGAAGGUGAAUGAGGAAGUCCGUGAGCUCCAGAAGAAGCUGUUGCAGGUGGAGGAGAUCCUCACCCAGAGCAAGAACCAGCUGGAGACCGCCACCAAGACCCUCGAGGAGAAGGAGAAGACCCUCACCACCACCGAGGCUGAGGUCGCCUCCCUCAACAGGAAGGUGCAGCAGAUUGAAGAGGACCUGGAGAAGUCCGAGGAGAGGUCCGGCACUGCCCAGCAGAAGCUGCUCGAGGCCCAGCAGUCCGCUGACGAGAACAACCGUAUGUGCAAGGUGUUGGAGAACAGGGCCUCGCAAGACGAGGAGCGUAUGGAUCAGCUCACCAACCAGCUCAAGGAGGCACGUCUGCUCGCUGAAGACGCCGAUGGCAAGUCCGACGAGGUGUCCCGCAAGCUGGCCUUCGUUGAAGACGAGCUGGAGGUCGCUGAGGACCGCGUCAAGUCCGGAGACUCCAAGAUCGGCGAGCUUGAGGAGGAGUUGAAGGUCGUAGGUAACUCCCUGAAGUCCCUGGAGGUGUCCGAGGAGAAGGCCAACCAGCGCGUGGAAGAGUUCAAGAAGCAGCUGAAGACCCUCACGAGCAAGCUGAAGGAGGCGGAGGCCCGCGCCGAGUACGCCGAGAAGACCGUCAAGAAACUGCAGAAGGAGGUCGACAGGCUCGAAGACUCAUUGUGGAAAGAGAAGGAGAAAUACAAGGCGAUAUGCGAUGACUUGGACGGAACAUUCGCUGAACUCACAGGAUACUAACCGCCCUAGCUUAGUUUAAGACAAUACCGUCCAACACAAGUUAUCCGUAGAGUCCAUUUUGUACCAUCGCCUACACUAUUAACUGCACAUCGGACCUUAUGCCUUUUGUAAUAAGGGCCACCGAUGUACAGUUAGAAGUGUUUGUACGCCCUUCGAGGAGUUUAGACUCCUCGCCUACGCGUGUUUACGUGUAGCUGAUGAGAGAAUCAGCGCAGCCAUUUCCGUUUUAAUUUUCUUUCACGCUAAUCCCCUGUUCUUUAGAGGAUUGUUGACAGAGUCAGAAUACAUUUUUACACGAGAAAAAGUAACGAGCGCAUUUAAUGUUUCUCCGUAAAGGACUAAAAUUUAAUUGGAAUUCACAUUUAACUGUUUUUGAGUUGGUUGUGGUCAGCCGCGACCACGACCAGUGAAACCUGUGUCGAAACGUCGGUAAAUCAAGGUAAUUGAAUAAAAUUCGCGAUAGACCCGUCUAUAAAUGUGAGUUAAUAUGUGUUCAAAACGCGAAAGUUUAAAAUAUUUUGAUAUUAACUUAAAGUGUAAAGACGUGUUCUUUUAUACUCAUUUAGCUGAACGUCUAGCAAAUUUUGUCUAUGUCGAGUAGUUUAGCUUUUAAACAGAAAAUUAAAAAAUUGACGGCUUUUGGAGCAAUUUUUGACAAGGCAUUUAGGUAAAGCUUGCAAAUCCUUGUCACGAAGGUUCUAAAUGACGACGGUGGUUUUUGCAUACAUGCAAAAGCUGUUUUAAUGCAUGGAAAUAAAGUUUAAAUUCCGAGCAUGCUAGCUGACGUUCAGGCAAUCCUGUAUAGAUCGCAUAGAUUUAAGGCCCCGAUUUUCGUGUUGUGACUAACAUGUCUUACGCUUUGCUGCUACCGGCGGACAAUGCUUUCAAGACGAGCUGGGUAUCAACAAGGACAGAUACAAGUCUCUGGCUGACGAGAUGGACUCCACCUUCGCCGAGCUGGCUGGAUAUUAAAAAAAAAGCUCCCGCGCACUCCAAUACAAACCCACGAGCCAUCUCUUUCUAUCACACUCGUGCGACAGAGAGAGACUCUUGCGUUUGUCUAUGUAACAAUUCAUACUGCUGCCUGCAGAAAUGAACAUCGACUAUCGUGAUGUAAUAAUAACUAUUUAUUAUUUUAUGUAAAUUUAUUUACGAUUUUCAAUAAAAUUAAUUUAUAACAUC